rnacentral:rRNA from 1 species
AUUGAACGCUGGCGGCAGGCCUAACACAUGCAAGUCGAGCGAGCGGCGGUCGGGUGAGUACUGUAUGGGGAUAUGCCCGAUAGGGGUGGAUAACUACUGGAAACGGUAGCUAAUACCGCAUCCUAUCGGACGUACCCAGAUGGGAUUAGCUAGUUGGUGGGGUAAUGGCUCACCAAGGCGACGAUCCCUAGCUGGGCUGAGAGGAUGAUCAGCCACACUGGAACUGAGACACGGUCCAGACUCCUGCGGGAGGCAGCAGUGGGGAAUAUUGCACAAUGGGCGCAAGCCUGAUGCAGCCAUGCCGCGUGUGUGAAGAAGGCCCUAGGGUUGUAAAGCACUUUCAGUUGGGAGGCGUUACCGACAGAAGAAGCACCGGCUAACUCCGUGCCAGCAGCCGCGGUAAUUC